rnacentral:rRNA from 1 species
AUUGAACGCUGGCGGCAGGCCUAACACAUGCAAGUCGAGCGAGCGGCGGACGGGUGAGUAAUGUCUGGGGAACUGCCCGAUAGAGGGGGAUAACUACUGGAAACGGUGGCUAAUACCGCAUACCAUCGGAUGUGCCCAUAUGGGAUUAGCUAGUAGGUAAGGUAAUGGCGUACCUAGGCGACGAUCCCUAGCUGGUCUGAGAGGAUGACCAGCCACACUGGGACGGAGACACGGACCAGACUCCGACGGGAGGCAGCAGUGGGGAAUAUUGCACAAUGGGCGCGAGCCUGAUGCAGCCAUGCCGCGUGUAUGAAGAAGGCCCUAGGGUUGUAAAGUACUUUCAGUCGUGAGGCGUUACCGGCAGAAGAAGCACCGGCUAACUCCGUGCCAGCGGCCGCGGUAAUUC